rnacentral:rRNA from 1 species
UACGGAGGAUGCGAGCGUUAUCCGGAUUUAUUGGGUUUAAAGGGUGCGCAGGCGGCACGGCAAGCCGGCGGUCAAAUCGCGGGGCUCAACCCCGCCCAGCCGUCGGAACUGCCGGGCUAGAGUGGGCGAGAAGUGCGCGGAAUGCGUGGUGUAGCGGUGAAAUGCAUAGAUAUCACGCAGAACUCCGAUUGCGAAGGCAGCGCACCGGCGCCCUACUGACGCUCAGGUACGAAAGCGUGGGUAUCGAACAGG